rnacentral:lncRNA from 1 species
CUGGAGACCAUCAAGGCCUUCAAAGACAAGCAGAUCCACCCGGGAUUCGGCAGCCUGCCCCAACCGCCGCUCACUCUCAAGCCCAUCCGGCCCCGCAAGUACCCCAAUCGGCCUAGCAAGACCCCGCUCCACGAGCGGCCCCACGCGUGUCCCGCGGAAGGCUGUGACCGCCGUUUCAGCCGCUCAGACGAGCUGACCCGGCACCUGCGCAUCCACACGGGCCACAAGCCCUUCCAGUGUCGGAUCUGCAUGCGCAGCUUCAGCCGCAGCGACCACCUCACCACUCACAUCCGCACGCACACCGGGGAGAAGCCCUUUGCCUGUGAGUUCUGUGGGCGCAAGUUUGCGCGCAGCGACGAGCGCAAGCGCCACGCCAAGAUCCACCUCAAGCAAAAGGAGAAGAAGUCGGAGAAAGGGGGUGCGCCCUCUGCAUCCUCGGCGCCCACCGUGUCCCUGGCCCCUGUGGUCACCACCUGCGCCUGAGGAUCCGGCACCCAGAUCCCUUCUUUUCCCUUCCAGUGCCUCCUGGCUGGUCGCCUGAAAGCAGAGGGGAAAGCCAGUCACUGAGGCGCAGGGGCCGCGCCCUGAUCUCGCCCUGGACGUGCGGCCCCCUUGCCUCCCCCUUCGACGCCCCCCAUUUCCACCCUUUCACACCGGCCGGCGGUUGGGGGCUAGGGCUGGAGGCACUUUCUCCUUGCUGCCCCCCUCUUAGCCAAGGCGUGGGGGCGGAAAGGUGGCGUCUAGCCCGCUUUGUUCAGUUAGGAUCGCCUUGAUCCAGGGGCCGCUGAGCCACGCCAAGGACCUACGGGGGACUGAAGGCGGGGCCCAUCUAACCUUCGCCAGACCCAAGCACCUCACUGUUUUCCCCCUCCAGUGUCUCCCUGUGUUCCCCCUCGAACACCCGAGAGGGGGAGGGGGUAAGGAGCGCACCAAAGCGCAGAGCUUGCUGCCCGCCGCACGCACGCGCGCUUGCGUGCGGUGAUGCGCGCGAGUGUGUGCGUGCUCGCCUGUGUGUAGUGUGCGUGUGUAUGUGUGUGUGUGUGAGUGAGUGCGGUGUGUGCGCGCGCGCACGCGUGUGUGAGACUCUUGAGCUGAACUGGGCUGUGUCUACCCCUAAACUCUUCUUCACAUAGGGUCCCCAAGCCGUUGGGAGAUGUCCCAAGCUAAGGACCUGCAUGUGACCGGAGGAGAUGGUCUUCCAUCUGCUCCUUAAAUAAUGUUUCUUACAGAAAUGCCUCGGAUGCUGCAGCUGCAGUGGUGCUGCUGCCGCCGCCUCGGGUUUGGCCCCUUAGAGCCCCCUCCCUUUCCGAGCGCUUCCCUCUUAGGCCUCAGGACAGGUUGAUCUUUGGGGGAGAAAGAGCCACCUUUUAAAAAAAGAAAUCAUUGCUCCGUCCCACUUUUCAAAAUCUAUGUUCUUGAGCUUGCCCUCUGCCUUUCUCUCUCCCAUCUUCUCUUUUUCCCUCUCAGGUUCUCACUGAGUCUCUCAAGAUCUUUACCCAGAAAGGCAGGCCUCAAUCAACCACCCAAGAGUUUGUCUCUGUCACAUACCCACUCCCCAUUCCUGGGAAGGCUGGCUCUAUUCAUUUGCCCUCUCUGAUCACCAACACAACAGAUAGAAGUGAAGUGUAUGUAUAUGAUAUUUGCGUGUGUAUGUAGAUGUAUGUGUGUGUUUCUUUAGACACAUAUAUUUACAUAACACACACUCCGUAUUCCUAGCAAGAUCAAACCUAAGGCAUUUGGUUAGCCAGCGCAGUGCACUGGAAUAAAGAGAAUUUGUAGGCAUAUACAGCUUAAAUGAUUUAUUUUUAUGAAAAUGUUAACUGAUGAGAUUAUAUCUACUUGUGUAUGUGUGUGGAUAUAUGUGCACUCGUGUGUGUAUAUGCAUACACAUUCUGUUCAAAUUUUCCUCAAAAAAAUAGAUGGGGAUUUUUGCAUGAAUCUGUGUUGCUGAAUGAGGCACAUCUGUUCCAUGGCCCCAUCGCACCUCCCUGCCCUACCUCACCUCUUCUCAGGAGCCCUCAACCCCAGUUGUCCUGUCCAGCCCUUCCACACAGGGUGGCCCUUUUGAAGUGGAGACUUAAGAGAAGGGUGCUCUCUGACACAGCUUCCAGCAGUCUUGACUGAAUGUAUCCUUCCUAUUUAGCACCACUUCUCCUGUGGCCAGUAAGCUGCCCAGAGAGAAGCGACAAAAGGUCUGGAGUUUACAGAAUGUCUGUUUUUAAAGUCACUUUAUGCGUUUCCCACGUUUUUUUUUUUUUUAAUUAAAAAAGCACCGUCUUUUGGUGGUGGAUAAAUAAUACUAAAAGGACUCUAGUGCAAGGGAGGAAAAACUCGAAGAGCGGGGAUUGCGGGGGAUUAUGGGGGAUUGUGAAUUUCCAGGUACUCGGGCUUUUUGUAGAAGGAGAAGUUUGCCAGGAGGGCCCAUAUUUUUUCAGCUGAAGGGUAAAAUCUUUCUUUGCAGAGACAGUAUUUUGCUGAAUACUUUUUAUAAUGUGAUGAUUAUUUAAAAAACACACACAAAAUUUGGUCAGUUCAAAGCUGGAAGGAGGAAUCAAAUAUCCUUUAAUAUUUUUUCUUCCUCCUUCUGGAAUAUGCAUGUCACUGCAUGAUAACUCUGACUUUUCCUUUGUUUUAAUAAAACUGUUCUCAGACAUUUAAGCUAAACUAAGAGAAAAAAAAACUUUGUUGCCAAAAGGUUGUGCUAUCCCGAUUUUUUUAUAUGUCUGCAUGUUUAAAAAACAAAAGAAAAUGCACUCUAACUUAUGUGAACUGAGAGAAAAAAUCAGGUUUUAAACAGGAAAACCUAUGGGGAAUGAUAUUUUUUGAAAGACUUUUGUAUACAGUUGAGUACUUAGAAAAAGACAAACCAGAUGUAAUAUAUUUUGUGGAUGUUUUUAUUUCUUGGAUUUAUAGUACCUUAUACUAAGGUUAAAAAAAUGCUUGAUAUUGUGAAAAGGUGAGGUUCUUCACCAACAUUUCAUUUACUUCUUGUCACAUUGUUAUGCCAAUAUAAUAUAGUUAAUGAAAACAGCAUUUUUAAAAGCAAAUAUUGAAGCGGUGUAAUGUUGCCCCAUUUGCCUUGUGAGCAAAUGCCAAUACAGUAAAUAUAUUGUGUUUGCUGAC